UUAUUGGGCUACUCAGAACGUUAUGUUUUGGAAGCGGACCUGAAAGGGAACAGGCACGCGCUGGGUCAAGAUACAUUUGCUGGAAUUUUCCACUACCUGUGGAGACAGAGCAACAACAAGGAAAAGUCUUUAUUUAAAAAAAAAUAGAAAAGAAAGAAAGUCAGCUGUAACGGGCUGUGGUGGACCCGGUGCCUAUCCCGGUAACCCUGCGCACAAGGCGGGAGAAUUCCCUGUGCAUUUGCACACUCAAUCCACCUAUCUGCAUGUUUUCAGGAGGUUGGAGGAAACCAGAGAACCCAGGGGAAACCCACGUAAACAUGGGGAGAACAUACAAACCUCUUCAAAGACAGUAACCCACACUCAAGAUUGAGCCCAAGCCCCUAGAGCUGUAAGCCAGCAACUCUCUCUCCACUGCACCGUUGUGCCACCGUGCUGCCUGCUAUAGCAACUGCAGUUGUUAAAUGGAAAUUAUGUGAUGGAGCUGUCUAAAUGAAACAAAACCCCAUGUCCUGCUGCAAACAUGAGCAUUUUCAAGUUUAAAAAUAGUUUUGUGCUAAAAUUUCAUGUUUUCUCUUAAUCACAAUAUGCUAAGAACAGUCUCUAGCCUUUCCUUCCUGGUUACAAAUUAAAACCAGAAUAUCUCCA